GACGAACGCUGGCGGCGUGCUUAACACAUGCAAGUCGAACGGAAAGGCCCUGCUUUUGUGGGGUGCUCGAGUGGCGAACGGGUGAGUAACACGUGAGUAACCUGCCCCUGACUUUGGGAUAACUUCAGGAAACUGGGGCUAAUACCGGAUAGGAGCUCCUGCUGCAUGGUGGGGGUUGGAAAGUUUCGGCGGUUGGGGAUGGACUCGCGGCUUAUCAGCUUGUUGGUGGGGUAGUGGCUUACCAAGGCUUUGACGGGUAGCCGGCCUGAGAGGGUGACCGGCCACAUUGGGACGGAGAUACGGCCCAGACUCCUACAGGAGGCAGCAGUGGGGAAUAGUGCACAAUGGGCGGAAGCCUGAUGCAGCAACGCCGCGUGCGGGAUGACGGCCUUCGGGUUGUAAACCGCUUUCGCCUGUGACGAAGCGUGAGUGACGGUAAUGGGUAGAGAAGCACCGGCUAACUACGUG
rnacentral:rRNA from 1 species